rnacentral:rRNA from 1 species
GCGAGCGGCGGAUGGGUGAGUAACACGUGGGGAACCUGCCCCUAAGUCUGGGAUACCAUUUGGAAACAGGUGCUAAUACCGGAUAAUAAAGCAGAUCGCAUGAUCAGCUUUUGAAAGGCGGCGUAAGCUGUCGCUAAGGGAUGGCCCCGCGGUGCAUUAGCUAGUUGGUAAGGUAACGGCUUACCAAGGCGACGAUGCAUAGCCGAGUUGAGAGACUGAUCGGCCACAUUGGGACUGAGACACGGCCCAAACUCCUACGGGAGGCAGCAGUAGGGAAUCUUCCACAAUGGACGCAAGUCUGAUGGAGCAACGCCGCGUGAGUGAAGAAGGUUUUCGGAUCGUAAAGCUCUGUUGUUGGUGAAGAAGGAUAGAGGUAGUAACUGGCCUUUAUUUGACGGUAAUCAACCAGAAAGUCACGGCUAACUACGUGCCAGCAGCCGCGGUAAUACGUAGGUGGCAAGCGUUGUCCGGAUUUAUUGGGCGUAAAGCGAGCGCAGGCGGAAAAAUAAGUCUAAUGUGAAAGCCCUCGGCUUAACCGAGGAACUGCAUCGGAAACUGUUUUUCUUGAGUGCAGAAGAGGAGAGUGGAACUCCAUGUGUAGCGGUGGAAUGCGUAGAUAUAUGGAAGAACACCAGUGGCGAAGGCGGCUCUCUGGUCUGCAACUGACGCUGAGGCUCGAAAGCAUGGGUAGCGAACAGGAUUAGAUACCCUGGUAGUCCAUGCCGUAAACGAUGAGUGCUAAGUGUUGGGAGGUUUUCCGCCUCUCAGUGCUGCAGCUAACGCAUUAAGCACUCCGCCUGGGGGAGUACGACCGCAAGGUUGAAAACUCAAAGGA